rnacentral:tRNA from 1 species
AAGAAAUUAGUUAAUUUUAUAACAUUAACUUGUCAUGUUAAAAUUAUCUUAUAAAGAUAUUUCUUA